GGGCCCGUGGCCUAGCUCGGAUAGGGCGGCGACAAAAAGCCGUAAGCCUUCUAACCCGCGGAGAAAGCCGCAGGUCCCGGGUUCGAAUCCCGGCGGGCCCGCCA
rnacentral:tRNA from 1 species